rnacentral:rRNA from 1 species
AUGAAGCCUAAUAAUAAACCAUCUAGUGUUGCUUCUGAAAUUAAAUUGAAAAGUGCAUGUUUAUUUGCCACCAAAUCUGAUAUUGAUGAGCUAGAUUUCAGCAAAUCUCUUUGCUAUGCUUUUGUGUGCAAAGAGGCAUUAUUUUCAUUCGAGGACGUGCCUUCCUCUUUGCCUCCUGCUGUCACUAACAUUUUGCAGGAGUUCGCUGACGUCUUUCCACAAGACGUGCCACCGGGAUUACCGCCUAUUCGAGGGAUUGAGCAUCAGAUUGACUUAAUUCCCGGUGCUUCACUGCCAAACCGUGCACCAUACCGUACCAAUCCAAAGGAGACGAAGGAGAUUAUGCGUCAAGUACAAGAGCUUCUCGACAAAGGUUAUAUACGCGAAUCCCUUAGUCCUUGUGCUGUUCCUAUUAUUCUAGUGCCGAAAAAGGAUGGUACAUCACGUAUGUGUGUUGAUUGUAGAGGUAUUAAUAAUAUUACUAUUCGUUAUCGUCAUCCUAUUCCUAGGCUAGAUGAUAUGCUUGAUGAAUUGAGUGGCUCUACAAUAUUCUCCAAAGUUGAUUUGCGUAGUGGAUACCAUCAAAUUCGUAUGAAAUUGGGAGAUGAAUGGAAAACAGCAUUCAAAACUAAGUUUGGAUUAUAUGAGUGGUUAGUCAUGCCUUUUGGGUUAACUAAUGCACCUAGUACUUUCAUGAGAUUAAUGAACGAAGUUUUACGUGCUUUCAUUGGACGAUUUGUGGUAGUUUACUUUGAUGACAUAUUGAUUUAUAGCAGAUCUUUGGAAGAACAUUUAGAACAUUUACGUGCUGUUUUUAUUGCUCUACGUGAUGCACGUUUGUUUGGUAACCUUGGGAAGUGCACCUUUUGCACCGACCGAGUAUCUUUUCUUGGCUAUGUUGUUACUUCACAGGGUUAUUGA